CGUGCGCUGGAGAUACAGUUCUUGGGAUUGUGGUAGAUUCUAGAUCAGAUAACUUUCUUGUGGACAUUAAAGGACCAACCUUGGCAUUUUUGCCUGUACUUGCAUUUGAAGGUGGAACAAGGAGGAACAUAC